GACGUAGGGUGCGAGCGUUUGUCCGGAUUUAUUGGGCGUAAAGAGCUCGUAGGCGGCUCGUCGCGUCGACCGUGAAAACCCGCGGCUUAACUGCGGGCUUGCGGUUGAUACGGGCGGGCUAGAGUUCGGUAGGGGAGACUGGAAUUCCUGGUGUAGCGGUGAAAUGCGCAGAUAUCAGGAGGAACACCGGUGGCGAAGGCGGGUCUCUGGGCCGAUACUGACGCUGAGGAGCGAAAGCGUGGGGAGCGAACAGG
rnacentral:rRNA from 1 species